CCUACGGGAGGCAGCAGUGAGGAAUAUUGGUCAAUGGGCGCGAGCCUGAACCAGCCAAGCAGCGUGAAGGAUGACUGCCCUACGGGUUGUAAACUUCUUUUAUAAAGGAAUAAAGUGAGGUACGUGUGCCUUUUUGUAUGUAUUUUAUGAAUAAGGAUCGGCUAACUCCGUGCCAGCAGCCGCGGUAAUACGGAGGGUUCGAGCGUUAUCCGGAUUUAUUGGGUUUAAAGGGUGCGUAGAUGGGUUGUUAAGUCAGUUGUGAAAGUUUGCGGCUCAACCGUAAAAUUGCAAUUGAUACUGGCAGGCUUGAGUACAGUUGAGGUAGGCGGAAUUCGUGGUGUAGCGGUGAAAUGCUUAGAUAUCACGAAGAACUCCGAUUGCGAAGGCAGCCUACUAAGCUGCCACUGACAUUGAUGCUCGAAAGUGUGGGUAUCAAACAGGAUUAGAUACCCGUGUAGUC
rnacentral:rRNA from 1 species